UCCACUAUAUAUUAGUUUUAGGCGUACAACAAGGCUCACUUUUAUUCGCAUAAUCGACGCAUAUACGAACUGCACGAACUCUAUAUGCCGUACAAUAGUAUACAUGCAUGUAUACGUACGUACGUAGCACUACUACAAUACAAGGUGAAGGUGCUUAUUAUUUCGUGCUAAAUACAAAAUAGUCUCUAAUACAUGCAUAUAUCUUUCUUACUUUACCCAUGGCCCCCACCAGACCCAUAUCCAGACCCAUAUCCGGAUCCGUAACCCGAACCUCAUCCGCUCCCUCCGACCCCGUACCCGGACCCACCGCCUUCCCCGCCUCCUCCGCCACUCCCAUAACCGCCGCCUCCCAGCCCUCCACCCGAACCGUAACCCGACCCAUAGCCAGAACCAUAACCAGAACCGAUACCGCCUGACCCGUACCCAGAACCGCCGCCGCCGCCACCGCCGCCACCCCUCCCGUAACCUCCCCCUCCAAUUCCUUCGCCUUCACCGUAUCCCGACCCUUCACCAUAACCAUAACCAGCGCCUAACCCAGAACCGCCACCACUGCCAGAACCGCCGCCGCCGCCAGCUCCAUAACCCUGGAGAAGCACGCGACCGGCAGCGGCAAAAUCUCCGAAGAGUAGUACUAAAAUGAGUGCAGCAACAACAACUACAACUCUUGAACUCGCCAUGUUUGAUUGUAGCUGAUAUGCCCUUUACUCCUCGAGCUAUAUAUGUAGUAGAAACAAAUGAGGAGCAUGGGGUGUAUAUAUAGUUGUGUGCAUGUAGUAGUACAUUAUUUCAAUUUUGAACGUGGGUGAUUGGAGAACGUACGUAUAAGGGCACUAAACAAGUGGUGGGGCCCGGGGGAUUGAUCACUUAGAGGUUGAGGAUCCACGUGUCAGUAGUUGACCAAGGGAAGGAGAAGCGCUGUUGACUUUUGCGUCGCUCGUAGUGCGUGCGCGUGGUGCUCCCGCAUAAUAAUUAGUAAGUUGUGGUGUAAAAUGUAUCCGCGUCUAAUGAAAGUGGGGUGGUUGGAGCCUCACUUGGGGCCAAAGAUAGUGUUUCUAUCAAAUCAGGAUUCAGUGACACGCGUCUCAUUGUAAUAUUCCAAUAUCUAAGCGGUCGAAGAAUAUUUUGUGGGACUUUUAAAGCAAAAUUAAGAGUUAAGCCUCCGUUUGGUUCGGGGUUAAGAAAAAAAUAGUUAUUUCAGAAAUAGAAUUAAGUUCAGGAUUAAAAUGGGGUUAAAAUUUUUUUGUGUUUGGUUGGGGGUUGGAGUUAGUCUAGAAUUAUUGAAAAAUAGUGUUUGGUUGGAGUAGGUAGGAUAAAAAGAUAAUGAUUGAUAAAGAAGAAUAAUGAUUGGUUGGAGUAGGUGUGAUAAGAAAGAUAGUGAGUUAUUAUGAAUAUAAAAUAGUGUUUGGUUGGAGUUUGAUAGGGUUAGGUAGAGUGAGCUAACCCGGAAUAAUUUAUUUGAGAUAGAAUUAGCUACCCCCACCCAUUUUUUAGAAUGUUUGGGGAUAAAAUGGGGGUUAAGGGGUGGAAUGGGUUAUUCCACCCCUUAAACCCCAACCAAACAAGGGCUAAGAGUAUUUCACAUUAAAUUUAUAUUGGGCGUCACAGGCUCCCAGUUUGCUUGAUAAGAGCAUUUUAUUGGUGCUAUAUAUAUUAUUAAGUCCUUUUUGUACAAUAUUUUUUUUAUCCAAUUUGGAACUAUCAAAAGUGAGAUUGUAUACGGUAAAUAGCCAAUUUUCCAUAAAAACUUCAAUAAUUUUAGAGAAUGCUCUUUUACUUUUAUCUAAAUUGAGUUAAUUACCUUUGGAUGCCGAGUGAUUUUCCUUCAUAGUGAUUAUACUGAAGUAUAUGGACUGCGCGCGCGCGCACACGCACACACACAUAUAUAUAUAUACAUAUAUAUAUAUAUAUACAUAUAUAUAUAUAUAUAUGGCUGCUGUGCUCUUAGGAGUACGGAGGCCUCCGUACUCCUGAGCCGUUUUCGAUGAUGGAAUUUUCGAAUCGACGAUCGGCUCCGUUAGACUUGAUCUAGCCUAUUUGAAGUUUCUAGAAAAUAUUUUUUGCGAUUUUUUGAUAUAAUUUACCUAGUGAUCGAAAGGAUUCAAAAUAUAUAAUUUUUAAUGGUUGAUAUCUGCCGUUUUCAAGUUUAACGGUGUAGAAGUAUUCAAAUCAGAUGAAAUUUUGAUACAAAAUUCUUUAUACUAUCUACAACAAGAUCAAUAUUUCUGAUCGAAAAUUUUAGUGCUAUAUCACCAUUUUUUAUAGGAUUUUUAUUUACAGCCGUUAAAAAUUAUUGAUUUUGAAUCCUUUCGAUUGCUAGGUAAAUAAUAUCAAAAAAUCGCACAAAUUAUUUUCUAGAAACUUCAAAUAUGCUAGAUCAAGUUUAACGGAACCGAUCGUCGAUUCGAAAAUUCCAUCAUCGAAAACGGCUCAGGAGCACGGAGACCUCCGUACUCCUGAGAGCACAGCAGUCCAGCUCUCUCUCUCUUUCUCUCUCUCUCUCUCUUUCUAUAUAUAUAUAUAUAUAUAUAUAUAUAAUUGAGCUAGAAUACUUUUAAAAGUAUCACCCCAUUGGUGCUUUUAGGUUUAAUUUCUAGGCCUUGGAUCUACUUCUUAAUUACUAAUAACCAUUGGAUCAAACACUAUUCCACCUACCACCACCUACCACCAUCAUCACAACCUUACAUUCCUCCAUCCAAUGGUUAAAACUCAAAAGCACCACCUCAUUGAUACUUUUGAGAGUAUUCUAGCUCAAUUAUAUAUAUAUAUAUAAUACUUUUAGAAGCACCAACCCCUUGGUGCAACCCUUUAGUGCUUCUAAGUUUUUAACCUUUAGAUCUACUCCUUAAUUACUAAUAGCCUUUGGAUCAAACACUAUUCUACCUACCAUCACCUACCACUAUCAUCUCAACCUCAUAUCUCUCCAACCAAUGGCUAAAAACUCAAAAGCACCACCUUCAUGGUAUUUUUGAGAGUGUUCUAGCUCAACUCUCUCUCUCUCUCUCUCUCUCUCUCUCUCUCUAUAUAUAUAUAUAUAUAUAUAGAGUUGCGCUAGAAUACUAUCGAUAGCAAACGGUCUCCGUUGCCACCCAUUUGUUUUCGAUGAUAGAGCCUCCAAAUCGACGAUCGGUAUCAUUGAACAUGAUCUAUACCAUUUGAAGUGUUUAGAAAUCAAAAUUCAAAUCUUUUCAAUAUUAUUUGCCUAAUGAUCAAAGGGUUUAAAAUUUAUAAUUUUAAUGGUCGAUAUGAGGUGUUUUCUCGUUUAACGGUGUAGAGAUAUCCAAAUCAAUUGAUUUUUUGUUAGAAAAUUCUUUAAACUAUUUAAAAUAAGAUCUAUACCCUUGAUCUUGAAUACAAGACUCCUAUCAUUAUUUUUUAAAGAAUAUUUAUUUUCAGCCGUUCAUUUUUGCGUCCACUCGAUGGAUAAGAGAACAAUAUCGAAAAUGUAUGAAAUUUGAUUUCUAAACACUUCAAGUGGUAUAGAUCAUGUUCAACGGUGCCGAUCGUCGAUUUAAAGGCUCCAUCAUCGAAAAUAAAUGGGUGGCAACGAAGCCCGUUUGCUACCGAUAGUAUUCUAGCUCAAUUAUAUAUAUAUAUNCUAAAAUAUAAAUUUUUCUAUUUAAUUUCAAAAGUAAGUUCUCUAUAACAGAUUACAGGUGUGAAAAUUCUAUAAAAGAUAUUUUCCUAUUUUAUUUUAAAAUAUCUUUUUUAGAUAUUAUCUAUUUAAUUUCAAAAUAUAUUUUCUUUUUAAGAUAACGGAUUUUAUUUUUCUAUUUAAUUUCAAAAAUUUAUUUCCUAACAGAUUUUAUUUUUCUAUUUAAUUUCAAAAGUAAUUUUUGCGUUAAAGAUUAUUGUUAAUUAUUUAUCAUUUAAAGCAUAUCUUUCUUAAUAGCGUGAUUUAUUAUCUUAAAUUUUUUAGAUGGCAAUCAUAUAAAAUAUGGUCCAAAAUUAAAAAAUAAUUUAAAAAAAUUAUAAAUUUUUCUAAUAAUUAUUACGUGUAUUUGCACGUACAUUUUACUAGUAUAUAUAUAUAUAUAUAGGCUACUAUACUAUCUAUAGUACCGGAGCUCCGGUACUAUAGUCUUAUUUUCGAUCAUAGGGUAUUCAAAUUAACGAUCCACACCGUUAAAUAUGAUCUGGGGUAUAUGAAGUUCUUAGGAAUAAAAUUUUAGUUUUUUUCGACAUCGUUUACUUAGUAAAUAAAUUAUGUCAAAAUGGAUGGUGGAAAUUGAAUAAUCUUUAAAAUUUGAGCAUAUGAUUUUUAAAUUCAAGAUAAAAAAUGUUAACCUUAAUCUAGAUAGUUUAAAGUAUUUUCUAUCAAAAUUUGAAGAAAUUUAGAUUCUUCUACACUGUUAAACUCCAAACUCGCCAUAGUAGUCAUUGAAAAUUGACAAUUUUGAAAUAGUUUGAUCAUAAAGUAAACUAUGUCGAAAAAAUAUAUAAUUUUAUUUCUAAAAACUUUAAAUACCCUACAUCAGUUUUAACGAUGUGGAUCGUUGAUUUGAAUAGCCUAAGAUCGAAAGCGAGACUAUAGUACCGGAGCCUCGGUACUAUAGAUAGUAUAAGAGACUAGCUCUCUCUAUAUAUAUAAGUGAGGCUACUAUGCUUCUGGAAGCACAGAGCCUUCCGUGCUUCCAGAUCGUUUUCGAUAUUGCGACUUUCGAAUCGUCGAUUGGCUCCGUUAAACUUAAUCUAGAGUAUUUGAAGUACCUAGAAAAUAAAUUUUGUAAUUUUUCGAUAUCAUNACGAACUCUAUAUGCCGUACAAUAGUAUACAUGCAUGUAUACGUACGUACGUAGCACUACUACAAUACAAGGUGAAGGUGCUUAUUAUUUCGUGCUAAAUACAAAAUAGUCUCUAAUACAUGCAUAUAUCUUUCUUACUUUACUCAUGGCCCCCACCAGAACCAUAUCCAGACCCAUAUCCGGAUCCGUAACCCGAACCUCCAUGAGACCCAUAACCCGA
rnacentral:lncRNA from 1 species